rnacentral:rRNA from 1 species
CGGGUGAGUAAUGUAUGGGGAUCUGCCUGAUGGCGGGGGAUAACUACUGGAAACGGUAGCUAAUACCGCAUAAUGUCUGCGGACAAGCGGGGACCUCCGGGCCUCGCGCCAUCAGAUGAACCCAUAUGGGAUUAGCUUGUAGGUAAGGUAACGGCUUACCUAGGCGACGAUCCCUAGCUGGUCUGAGAGGAUGAUCAGCCACACUGGGACUGAGACACGGCCCAG